GCUCAUAGUUACAAGCUCAGUCGGUACAGCAUGAGACUCUUACUCUCAUGGUUGUGUGUUGAAGCCCCACAUUGGGCA